CUAAAGAGAGGAGGAAGGGAGAAGAGGGAUUUAAGUUAGAAUUUGCUUUGAAUUUGAGAGUGAAAUCAAGCAAAGGUGGUGGUCUAGGAGUAUCUAGAGUGAAGAAUUUCUUACAAGGAGAAGAGAAACUAUUUCAGAUGAAUUAGCAGAUGGUUCUGAAAUUGCUUAGAAGAUGAGAGAUCUGCGGGGAAAAAGGAGACAUGGGG
rnacentral:sRNA from 1 species